rnacentral:rRNA from 1 species
CCUACGGGAGGCAGCAGUGAGGAAUUUUGGUCAAUGGGAGAGAUCCUGAACCAGCCAAGCCGCGUGAGCGAAGACGGCCCUAUGGGUUGUAAACCUCUUUUUUCGGACAACAAAACCCGGGACGUGUCCCGGACUGCGUGUCUCCGAAGAAAAAGCAUCGGCUAACUCCGUGCCAGCAGCCGCGGUAAUACGGAGGAUGCGAGCGUUAUCCGGAUUUAUUGGGGUUAAAGGGUGCGUAGGCGGUCCGUGAAGUCAGCGGUAAAAUUGCGGGGUUCAACCCCGUCGAGCCGUUGAAACUGGCAGAAUGGAGUGGGCGAGAAGUACGCGGAAGGCGCGGUGUAGCGGUGAAAUGCAGAGAUAUCGCGCAGAACUCCGAGUGCGAAGGCAGCGUACCGGCUCCACACUGACGCUGAGGCACGAAAGCGUGGGUAUCGAACAGGAUUAGAUACCCGAGUAGUC